AUUGAACGCUGGCGGCAUGCUUUACACAUGCAAGUCGAACGGCAGCGCGGGGCAACCUGGCGGCGAGUGGCGAACGGGUGAGUAAUACAUCGGAACGUACCCAGAAGUGGGGGAUAACGUAGCGAAAGUUACGCUAAUACCGCAUACGACCUAAGGGUGAAAGUGGGGGACCGCAAGGCCUCAUGCUUUUGGAGCGGCCGAUGUCUGAUUAGCUAGUUGGUGAGGUAAAGGCUCACCAAGGCGACGAUCAGUAGCUGGUCUGAGAGGACGACCAGCCACACUGGGACUGAGACACGGCCCAGACUCCUACGGGAGGCAGCAGUGGGGAAUUUUGGACAAUGGGGGCGAACCCUGAUCCAGCAAUGCCGCGUGAGUGAAG
rnacentral:rRNA from 1 species